rnacentral:rRNA from 1 species
UACGUAGGGGGCGAGCGUUGUCCGGAAUUACUGGGCGUAAAGCGCACGCAGGCGGUUUGUUAAGUCAGAUGUGAAAUCCCCGGGCUUAACCUGGGAACUGCAACUGAUACUGGCAAGCUUGAGUCUCGUAGAGGGGGGUAGAAUUCCAGAUGUAGCGGUGAAAUGCGUAGAGAUCUGGAGGAAUACCGGUUGCGAAGGCGGCCCCCUGGACGAAGACUGACGCUCAGGCGCGAAAGCGUGGGGAGCAAACAGG